rnacentral:rRNA from 1 species
GUGCCAGCCGCCGCGGUAACACCGGCAGCUCAAGUGGUAGCCGCUUUUAUUGGGCCUAAAGCGUCCGUAGCCGGUCUGAUAAGUCUCUGGUGAAAUCCCACAGCUUAACUGUGGGAAUUGCUGGAGAUACUAUCAUGACUCGAGGUCGGGAGAGGCUGGAGGUACUCCCAGGGUAGGGGUGAAAUCCUGUAAUCCUGGGAGGACCACCUGUGGCGAAGGCGUCCAGCUGGAACGAACCUGACGGUGAGGGACGAAAGCCAGGGGCGCGAACCGGAUUAGAUACCCGGGUAGUCC